CCUGGCUCAGAUUGAACGCUGGCGGCAGGCCUAACACAUGCAAGUCGAGCGGAAACGGCAGCAUUGAAGCUUCGGUGGAUUUGCUGGACGUCGAGCGGCGGACGGGUGAGUAACGGCUGGGAACCUGCCCUGACGCGGGGGAUAACCGUUGGAAACGACGGCUAAUACCGCAUAAUGUCUCAGUUCAUUACGAGCUGGGACCAAAGGUGGCCUCUACAUGUAAGCUAUCGCGUUGGGAUGGGCCCAGUUAGGAUUAGCUAGUUGGUAAGGUAAUGGCUUACCAAGGCGACGAUCCUUAGCUGGUUUGAGAGGAUGAUCAGCCACACUGGGACUGAGACACGGCCCAGACUCCUACGGGAGGCAGCAGUGGGGAAUAUUGCACAAUGGGGGAGACCCUGAUGCAGCCAUGCCGCGUGUGUGAAGAAGGCCUUCGGGUUGUAAAGCACUUUCAGCAGUGAGGAAGGUGAUGUACUUAAUACGUGCAUGGCUUGACGUUAGCUGCAGAAGAAGCACCGGCUAACUCCGUGCCAGCAGCCGCGGUAAUACGGAGGGUGCGAGCGUUAAUCGGAAUUACUGGGCGUAAAGCGCAUGCAGGCGGUUUGUUAAGUCAGAUGUGAAAGCCCGGGGCUCAACCUCGGAACCGCAUUUGAAACUGGCAGGCUAGAGUCUUGUAGAGGGGGGUAGAAUUU
rnacentral:rRNA from 1 species